rnacentral:rRNA from 1 species
CUUGGUCAUUUAGAGGAAGUAAAAGUCGUAACAAGGUUUCCGUAGGUGAACCUGCGGAAGGAUCAUUAUCGUACAAAAUGUGUGAGGCAUGCAAGGGCUGUCGCUGACUUUUUAAUCACAAAAAGUCGUGCACGCCGGAGCGUGUCCUCUCGCAUAAAAUCCAUCUCACCCUUUUGUGCACCACCGCGUGGGCACCCUUUGGGAUCGAACCGAUCCAGGAGGGCGCUUGCGUUUUCACACAAACCCCCUUAUAAAAGUGUAGAAUGACCCCAUUUUUGCGAUAACACGCAAUCAAUACAACUUUCAACAACGGAUCUCUUGGCUCUCGCAUCGAUGAAGAACGCAGCGAAAUGCGAUACGUAAUGUGAAUUGCAGAAUUCAGUGAAUCAUCGAAUCUUUGAACGCACCUUGCGCCCCUUGGUAUUCCGAGGGGCACACCCGUUUGAGUGUCGUGAAAAUCUCAACCUCCUCGGUUUCUUCUGGACGCCGAAGGAGGCUUGGACUUUGGAGGCCUUUGCUGGCGUCUCUCGCCAGCUCCUCUCGAAUGAAUUAGCGGGGUCCUCUUUGCCGAUCCUCGACGUGUGAUAAGAUGUUUCCAUGUCUUGGUUUCUGGCUCUGUCGCCUUUGGGACCCGCUUCUAACCGUCUCAAGUCGAGACAACGUUUGAGCGUGUCUCCCUUCUCGGGAAACACCCUCGAGCCCACGAACCCUUGACCUCAAAUCGGGUGAGACUACCCGCUGAACUUAAGCAUAUCAAUAAGCGGAGGA